rnacentral:rRNA from 1 species
GACAGAGGUGGCAAGCGUUGUUCGGAUUUAUUGGGCGUAAAGGGUCUGUAGGCGGCCUGGAAAGUCGGAUGUGAAAUCCCACGGCUUAACCGUGGAACUGCAUUCGAAACUUCUAGGCUCGAGUGUGAGAGGGGCAAAGGGAAUUCCCGGUGUAAGAGUGAAAUCUGUAGAGAUCGGGAGGAACACCAGUCGCGUAGGCGCUUUCUGGGCCACUUCUGACGCUGAGGUGCGAAAGCUAGGGGAGCAAACGGG